UUGUUUUGCAUGUUGCUUCUUUUUCAUUUUACACAAAAGCAAAUAUGUAGCUUCUUUUUCAUUUUUUCUUUCUCCAUUAUUUUUCACAUGCAUUUUUCUACUGUAAAAAACACUUAAUUUCUUUCUUCUUUUUAAUGAUACAAUUUUGAUUUUCAAAUUUAUUCAGUUUGAUUGACAAAUUGAAACUUCCAUAUAAACUCAUCCUGAAAGUCUAACCCUCUUUUAACUCUAAUUUUAGAGAAAUGGUGGCCAAAACGAUUCAUCAAAAGUUUAUGGCUCAAAAAAUAUUCUUAAAAGAUCCAAAUAUUUAGAAAUAAAAGAUCUAAAUCUCAAAAGAUGGUGGCC
rnacentral:lncRNA from 1 species